GCAGAGUGCUGAUGGUUCAGGGUCUCUUAGGGCUACAGUCACCUGGAGUCCACAUCCACCGAGGUAGGCAAGAGGCCUUGCUGCUGGUGUGUCCUCAAACAGGGCAUCUGGUCCCCUCCAGAGAAGGUGGCAGAAGAGAGGGCAAGUGCAGGCCACCACACCUUUAUGUGAGUCUCCAGCCCCAGCCCACGUGGAGGAGAGGGAAUCAGCCUCCACACUUUGGAGAGAGAAAUAGCAAAGAACACUGGGCCUAUUUUAAAAGCACCAGAAGCCAAUCUAGAAGAAGGAUUUUAAGAAUAUCCUCAAGUGUGAUAGUCCAGGAGCCGUGACCCAGGUGGUUAGAGCGCUGCCUCCCAGUCUGCAGCCCCACUGGUCUGGAAAAGGGCAGAGAGAAAACAGCCAUCGAGCAGCACAAGGAGCAGGUGAGCGCGUGAAAGCCGCCAUUAGUAACGGCACCAGAGCCAGCGCGGGCCCCUCAGCCAGCCCCUGCAGCUUCUCCUCCCUCCCGGACAGGGCCGCUUCCCCCACAGGCGCUGGCCGGCACAGGCCCGGCUCCCCAGGGUUUCCCAGACUGGCCUUUCCGCAGGCUUCAGCAGCGGGAAAAGGCUCCCCAGUGGGCUCCGCAGGGCGUCGGCAUCCACCGGAACCCCUGGAAAACCUCUGAACCUUCCUCCCCUCCUGGGGCUCACCUUCCGCGGACCUGUUUCCAAGGUAAUUGUAGCUGUGUACUUUUCUUUUAUCUCCACAUUUAAUCAUGUUCCUUGUUGAAAAAAAAAAAAAUAGAAAAUAGAGAUAUGAAAGAAAAGCUGUGCUACACUCAAAAAUAUCCACUAACAUUUGAAAUAUUUCUUCUAGUUUCUCUCUCUUUCCAAGUACAGAGCGAGCGAGAGAGACAGAGACAGAGAAAACCCUAGAAGAAAUAUCUCAGAAUAUUAACAGUAGCUAUCUUUGAAUUAGGGUGGAUUUUUUUCAUAUCUCCAUUUUCUAAUUUUUUUUCAACAAAUGUAGGGUGAAAAAAUACAUGGCUACAAUUUUAAACUACGUUUCUCAUCCCUGGCAGUUUGACAUUUCCUUUUGGUAGGGAGGUCUUACGCCCUGUAGGGUGUUUAGCAGCACCCCUGCCCUUUACCCAUUAGGUUCCGCAGCCCCCCCACCCCCCGUCAUACAUGAUAACCAAAUCCAUCUCCGGGUUUGGCCAAAUGUCCCUGGAGGGCAAAGUCAACCGCAAUUUAAAAUUCACUCACUUCAAAUACAUACGCCCCCACAUAUAUUUACUAAAUGGAGUUACUGUAUAUCAUAAAUACUGGCUUGUCUCUUUAAAUUAAAAAAAUUGAAAAGUGUACCAUGCCGUAAGCUCUUUCCAUGCUGGGUAUCAGGGCUCAUUGCCUCGAUUUGAAAGGGCUGUGCUGUUGAACGUCCUCUGACUCCGUGUGUGAACCAGUUUAUAUCACCAGUCCCCACUCUGGGACACAGAGUAUAAAACCGAAAUCCUACCGCUCAUACAGUGGUACAAGCUGCCUUUGAAAGUGCAGAGGUCCUGAUGUCCACAGCACAGUUGCGGGAUGCUGCCUGAGUAACUUCACCUCUGUCUCCUCAUGUGUGACGAGGACAGUCC
ensembl:lincRNA